UUGGGAACUCACUGGCUUCAGAUUCCAUCGAAACUCCAAAGUUAAGCGAGUUCAGGCGAGAGCAAUCCCAGGAUGGGUGACCCACUGAGAAGUUAUCGCGUGAGUUCCCAAAAACAAAACUAUAAGGGCGUGGUCGGGGCUCAAAGUGAACAAUAUCGUGCUACGGCGGAGCCGGUCUGGGAUGUGACAGAAUGGUAUCAAAGUCACUCUGCCGUGUGGUGUGAGUAUGCCGACGAGGACGUCGGGCCCCUAAGGGAGGUGAAUUGUAACAUCCCACAUCGACCAACGGAGAGGGGUGAUAUGCCUUAUAUGCACAUGCCCACCUCCAUAUAGCCCGAGGCAUUUUGGGAACUCACAGACUUUGGAUUCCAUCGGAACUCCAAAGUUAAGCAAGUUCAAGCAAGAGCAAUCCUAGGAUGGGUGACCUACUGGGAAGUUCUCACGUGAGUUUCCAGAAACAAAACCAUGAAGGCGUGGCCGGGGACCAAAACGGACAAUAUCGUGGUACAGCAGAGCCGAGACUAUGAUGUGAUAGAAUGGUAUCAGAGCCACUCUGCCGUGUGGUGCGAGUGUGCUGACGAGGACGUCAGGCCCCUAAGGGGGUGGAUUGUAACAUCCCACAUCGACCAACGGAGAAGGGGUGAUGUGCUUUAUAUGCACAUGCCCACCUUCAUAUAGCACAAGACCUUUUGGGAACUCACUGGCUUCGGAUUCCAUCGGAACUCUAAAGUUAAGCAAGUUCAGGCGAGAGCAAUCCCAGAAUGGGUGACCCAUUGGGAAGUUCUCACGUGAGUUCCUAGA
rnacentral:sRNA from 1 species